UUUGAGGUCCUUUUCAACACAGGCCAUUCUAUGAUUCUAUGAUUGAGCACCUCCUGGCUGCAGGGCAGGGCAUGGGGCUGCACGUGCCACUUCCAUCUGAAAUGCUGAUCUGCUUGUCUUAUAGAGCCCUCAGUGCAACAAUGGAACCACAUAAGAAUUAAAGGAGUGUUGUUUGCUCAUAGUGAGCAUAGAGUUCACAAUUCUGAAAGAAGUAAGAGUUACAGUGUAAAUAUCCUACAUAUCCACAUUGUCUUAGGCAGUAUGGCACACAGAACCUUGUUUCAACUUAAAACAGAAGUCAUUUUUAGCGAUGAAAAUACCUAAGAGUGUGGUAGUCCUUUCUGGGUUGAGACACGGAGGCGUCUGAGAAGGCAGCUAAGUCUGACAAUAGAUUGUAAUAUUAGCUUCUUGAUUAGUAGUGCCAAUCCAUUUCAUAAAGAUUACUCAUUGCUUUGAUACCAAUUCAACAGAAUGUAAUACAUGGGGAUAACUUUUCUGCACAUGCUUUGAUCUCUGGUAGCAUUUUCCAGUGAUUCAGCCAAGCUUGAGGCAAGAGGAAACUAUGGUUGGGGUUUUUUGGUUGGUUGUCAGCCAUAGUACAGUGAAAACCAUCUUUCUUUCCAUAAUUAAAAGCUUCUUUUUCUUGUCAGUGUCACAGUUGAACCAACAGUUGGGUGGAUGGAUGCUCCUGGCUGAUGGGCUCUCACAGGGGAGCAGGACUGGUAUUCUGCAUUGGCUGCUGGGGCUUCUGCUCCCAGCCCCCAUCAGUCUGUUCUUGAAUCAUUAUGAUUUGCAGAGCAUCAUUUGAAAGGAAUCUGAAAUAGGUUUUCACAUGUUGAACACAUCCCCGAGAGCUUCAUAUGUCUCUGCAUCAGUUAACUGCUUUCAAAAACACAGAGUGUACCUCUUCUUGCUGUAACGGUAUGUCCUAAAAUAGGCUCUGGGGUUCCAACGUGCAGAAGGUUGAAGGAUGGCAUAUAAGCAAUUGCUUGGUUACUUUUCCCACACUCAGGAACUGGAGUAAAUUCGGCUCAGAGAUUCCAUAGAAACACUUCCAAAUGAGGCAAUAGGAGCCGGGAAACUAAGCUUUGGAUUUGCUUAGAAGCAGUCUAUUUCUUCCACAAAAUAAGUGAAUGCCUUCAUUAAGGAGCGAGUUGCUUAAGAAAUCACAGGGAAUGGAAAAGGCAGCUUUCCAGGCUUGCUGAGAAGAGGAGCAACUGAUUGCCUUGAGGCUGCUGCUCAGUUGUCCCUGUGACAGAGGCCAGAGGGGAUGGUCUGGUGGCACAAAAGGAGCCCCUGCUGGAGCCAAGAGAUCUCUGCUGUGCCUUGUUCUAUGGAAGGGUCACUAGGCUGCAUGUCUCUGUUCUUGAUAAGCACCUCUACAGACACGCAUAGGUAUUUGCUGUCAUUCUCUUUUGAAAUAGAGCAAUUUUUCAGAAGAAAGCACUCCCACUGAUCUUGGUCAUAAAUAUGAAGGCAGCAUUGUGAGUAUGUAGUGUUACUCUGUCAGGUUUCAGGUCUCAGAGCCUGUCAACAUAGUCUUUGGCCUUCUCUGCUGUCUGGGUUUGGUUCAUCAUUGCUCAGGAGCCUGAGGAUCAGUCAGGCUGUGGUGUGGGGAAGACCCCAGUUGAAGAUCCCCUGCAGCCACUCCAUCAGCCUGCACUAUCAGGCGCAGCAUCUCAGCAAUACCGUGUUUGUACAGCACACACACCCUGCAUGCACCUACAAGCCUGCUUUAUCACUGCGGAGUCUCUGCCGUGUAGAUUUCUGCUGGUGGAACUGCCCUGCCAGGCAGUUCUGUCUCCUUCGCCUGUGUCCCAUGACUGUGGCACAUGCUGCUUUUGAACUUUACCUUUGUUUCUCUGAGACCCUUCUUUAAUAGGAAGAUUUACAACAGCUUUAUUUUUUCUUUACAUUCUUAGUUUUCUCUUUGCCUUUUUCCCAAGUGGAUGGAAAUCUUAGCUUCUUCUUAAGCAAGGUGAAAGUAUCCUGCAUGGAGAAGUUUCGUGUGGCUCCAGCCACAGAGAUGCUGAGUAUUUGUUUCUCUCUAUUUGACUAGAAAACAGAGUACCCUGUGAAGGCUGUUUGUUUAUAUGGUGUGCUUGGGUGUGAGGGGCAAAGCAGGCAGAUUUACAUUUACAUUUCUUUACUGCUUUUUUCUGGAGCUCCCACACAUGAGCAAUUGCCCUGCAGGGUAGGGUGGGGGUGAGAUAUGUGUGUUGCUCUUUAUUUCGCUAUAAACUUCACUCUGAUUACUAGGACUUCUCCAGUGAAGACGAGCCCUGCUUUACCAUUGCUGGAGGUAUAAAUCACUCCUAAUUAACACCACAGUUAAGCUGCCUGGAGAGGGAGGCAAAACUCAUACGCCUUGACUGUGUCAUUCCAGUAAAUCUGUAUGAGAGGGAGGCCAGACUGACAGCCUGCAGGCUCUGUGCCCUGGGGCUGAGACAUGGGUUGGUAUCGGGAUGAAGUUGCUCAAUCUUUGGUGAAGUUGCCCAAGUUCUGACCCAGAUAUCAGCUGUCCAGGACAGUUCCUGACCUGUGGAGCUCUGGAAGGAGGAGCACAAGGCAGACGUGAGAAGGUAGGUACAGCACCUCUCCAUUCUGUACGUGAGGUUUUUGAGCAACACACUUGCCAAAGAGUUUGUGGGGAAUCUGUAGAGCCAGGAAUUUAUUACCCCUUGCCCAUCUCUCAAGCUGGUGCCAGAAGCAGACAGGUAGUUUGCUGAAUGCUUCAGCCCAACUCCUGGAAAGUAUUUAUGCCUGCAUUCCCACUGAAACCAGCAAGUUCCCCACUUUAGAAUGCAUUUAUUUUUAAACUGUACAGGCAGAGCUUACACGUUUUGACAAACUAACACCAGAGCAUUGAGUGCCUUGGAGAUUCUCAGCCCUGACUGCUCACUGAAAGCAUCACCUCAGCCUCCUGUGGACUCCUGUCGGACAGUGUCGGACAUGGUGCCUUUCUCAGCCUGGCCUUGUCCUUUUUAGCUUACAUCAAUAGCAGAGAUGAAGAUAGAGUGCAAAGGGAAGGAAUUCAGAAUGAACAGUGCUCACUAGAUAGACAACCCACAUGUGAAAUGUAGGAUUUUAAAUGCAAAUGCCUUCAUCUUGUCCUGUCAGAGACAAUUGGGUUAGCCCCUGUGCUGCACAGGUUGAAUUCAAAUGUUGCACGAGUAACUCUGAGCUAACACCAGUAUUGACACAGGACAACUGAUGAUGUGGUGUUGUAGUUGGCUUCAAGGAGAGGCAGAAUGGAGUCCAUCCCCACCAAGGUUUUACUUUCUCAUCAUUAUUUCUCUCCUGUAUGAAGUGUGGGCAGUGAGCACUGAGCUUGGCACCACAGCACAGUGGAGCAGGAAGUAAUGGGGAAUUCCCUGAUAGCCCCAAGGUCACAGGAAUGAACAUGCAGCGACUUGGGAAAAAAGAAGCACAUGGGAGAAUGUCAGAAGGUCCCGUCACCCUGGCUGUCCUGCAGCCUUGUUUGUAAGGAUGAAUGAAAGCCUUCCAAGUGUAAGCAUGGGGAAUUAAUUACAGCAUUCACCAGGCCCAGUUCUUCUCCUGGAGUCUGACACGUGGCUUCCUCAUGUGAUGUCUCUUGGCACUGCAGAGACGUGGCAUCACUCACAGCUCUGACAGCGGCUGUUUCUUUGAGCCUGUCAGCCUCCUGCAGUGGCUGGAGUAGCAGUGCAUUUCUGCAGGUGCACAGCACUGCAUCGCCGUAGUCCCAAUGAAGCCAUCGAGUCUGUGGGAGCCUAUGAAUGAGAGCACUAUCCAAUCAAGAAGGUGUUUCGUACUUGACAAGCAAGCCAUUGUGUGACUGGAGAAGCCACAUCCUUCUUCCUGGUCUCUGUAGUUCCAUCUGCAGAGUUAAGAGUAGUGUGUCCCAUCUUCCUAACCAAAGGAGGUAUGGAUGGACUUGAUCCUUGGUGUACUGGUUGAUCUCAUUUGAGGAAGAAGAAAUCCAAGUGUAAUUAGAGACCAUUUACCUUGAUCUUAAAGGACUCAGCAUCACUUUGAGCCAUUAAACAUCAUUUGUACACUGUUAUUUACUCUGACCUUCAUUAAGAGGGAGUCUCUUUGCUCAACAGUGCAUGGGCCAGUAAGUGGUCAUUAAGCCUGACACAACAGCAGGGUUUGUAUUGCUUCUCCCAAGCUCUUCAUACCACAAGCAAGCAACACUGAGGCAAGGACUUACACAAAGGCAAGGACUGAUGUUGUUGAGGGAAAGAGUAAAAGGCACACAGGCACCAAGGCAAGAAGUGAACAGUGCCAUUCCCUUCCCUGCAUCUCCCCAGAUGUCCUCAGAUGGAGCCUGGAUCCUCCACUCUACAUUUCAAACCUAUUUCACUGCUCCACCCUCAGAAUACUGUAUUAAAACACAUCUUGAAAUAGUGUUUCAAAUGUUUAGCUAAAAAACUAAGAAAUAUUUACCUAAAAGACAGAGCUGACCCAAGAAUCAGGGGCAUGAGUUUGAUCCAUUCCCAGGCUGCUGAAACUGCUGAAGAAACAGAGCCCAGUUCAGCACAGUUCACUCGGGCUGGCAGCUAUACGACCCUGUCCAGAAAGUUGGUUGUUCCCAUCGCAUCCUUAGAGCUGGAAGAGAAGCAAUAGGGCAGCCCAGGCUGAAUGAUGGACAUUGGACACAAAGGUGGAUUUCAGCAGACCACUAGCAGCAUAACAAUGCCAUGAAGGAGGAGUGAACCUCUUAGCACUUUUCUGUUGCAGCCAGCAUUAAAAAGAAAUCACUAAGUGCUUUGGGUAAUACUCAAUGCUUCUGUCAACACUACCCAAAUUACCAGAAUACUUACCACGCAGGCAAACCUUGGGAAAUCACACCAAGUGUUUAGCAACUAGUGAUCUCAUAGUUCAUCCUACUUGAGCAGCACAGGAUGAAAGCUUCCUGCGAGGCCUGAGCAGACACCUGACAUGUCCCAGCCUGUUUUCCUCAAUGGCUGAAAGAAGUCAUGGCAGACAUUUAACUACAUCCUCCCUCUAUACGUGCAAUUAUCUGUGAAACUACAGCGUGUCCCCAUGGACAGCCUGACCAGGCAGAGCAGAUAUUUGAGGUCCUACACAGCCUGCUGGGUUUGAGAAGAAAUUUUAGCUGGUCAUGGAAUAUCUCACUGCACUCACUUGAAGGAGGAUGCUUACCCAGGGCACCAGGCUCCUGAGGAUGAGAAGCUUUGCACAGGUUAUUCUGCUCGGAAGAUGGCAAAUACUUGGAGGAGGAAAAUCUGUGUGUGUGCUUCUUUAUAGAGACCCAUGUUCCGGGUCCUCCCAAGCCUCCCUUCCUGCCUCUGCCAACCCCAAGGCAGCCGUGAAGGACAGUUAUGUAAGGAGAGCUCCUGGGCAGUAAACCAGGUGCACCCAAUAUCACAAGCACCCACAAACACACUGCGGGAUUAUCAGGUUCACCCUCCAUCCCAAGCCAAUGGUAAUGUGACACUGGUGAACACCUCCAUCAUCCCCUCCUCCCCUUUCUCAUGUGCUGUUGUGUAAAUCAAGGCUUGGUUCUAUGAAAUACAGAACAUGCUAACCUUUCUCAGCUGUGUUUGUCCUGAGUACCCCAUUAAAGCUUCUUGUGGUCUUUAUCAGUGCAGUCUGUGAAAGGCAGAAUGAAGCCCCAUGAGCUGUGCAGCUGAUCUGAGCUAUGAAGGUCACUUUGAGAAUGUCAUCUUUUUUCCCCAGAUCAAGGGCUGGGUGAUUUUAAAGAAUGUUUUUCUUGCUUAUAAUGUUUUUAUCUUGGUGUGAAAAACAAAUCCCGAGAGGUUUUAAUUCACGACCUAAUGAUUCAAAUACACUUAGCGAAACGUCAGCUCUUUUCAGACAGGUUUUGUAAAUGAUCUGGCACUAAAUCUAUGCAGCCCAUCUCUCCUUGUGCCCAGGAGCACAGCCAGAGCCUCAGAGGAGAGGACUGCUCUGCAGUAAGUCACAACUUUACUGCGGUGUAAAACAAAAAGCAGCCCCAAAUAAUUAAUGCUAUACCUGACACUUAUUUACGAGUACACAGAAGCAAUUUGAAAGCUGUAAAACCCGUCAACAGCCUUGUUUAAACUCAACCUGUGAAAGACAUGGGUGCCCAUUGCUUUUAUUGCUGGCAGUGCAAUAGGUUUGUAGAGCUUGUUAAAUAAGCUGGGUUGGAUGCACAGGUGGCAUAAAUCAAGCUGCUGUGGUUAAUCCAACACAGGAGUGGUCACAUGAGGCUCAAGGAGGCCUUGUACAGCCAGUGCUGCUCAGGGAGCUCUGACAACACCUGUAGACCCCAUAAGUUGCAGAAAGGACAGGUUCAGGCAUCCCAGCUCACUCUCCUAAAGCCCAUUCAUUUGCUCCACCUGUCCUUGUUUCCUCUCUGUUCUCAUGUCCCGUUCAGGGUUGUGGAAGUGGCAGCCAUGAACAGAUGUAGCCAAAGGUGGAAGAAUGAUUGUUUUUACAGUAAAUGUCGGGGUAAGACCGAGGGCUGUUUCUCCCCACUGGGAGCUGGAGGAGGAGCUGGGUUUUGGCAGCGAGCUGUGUUAGCACAGUGCUUCAAGAUGAGUAAAUAGCUCCAGGUAAAAGGGUGGUGAGGAUUUGCACUGAGUUGCUGUCACCUGAGAAAGUGCACUUAUUGCUGUCUUCUCCCACAGUGGAGGGAAGAGCCUGUGCCUGAGUUCUGGCCAUUCAGCCAUAGCUUGUCCAUCUCUCAACCCCAUGAUGGCACUUGGCAGCAGCCAUGGUUGUACCUUGGCCUGGACUGUAAUGAGUGGGAUCUCCUGUAGGAUGUUUUACAGGAUGGUUAAAGCUGGAAGGGAUCUCUUCUGAAGGACAUUUGGUCCACAGUGGCUUCUUGUGUACCUCCACUGUAGUUCUUCAGUGAGAUGAGCUUCUUGCUACAUCUGAUUCUGCAAAUCUGCAAAGCCCCAGUGAGUACAACUUCAGCUCACAACAGCUGAGCAGGCUUGUUUUCAGUUUUCUCUUGAACAGCAGCAUCACAGGUGACAGUUCCCACUGUGCCAGUGCCAUCUCAUCAUGAAGUCAGCAGAGAGUCUGACUGUACAUCUUCCCUCCUGGAUCCAAUCUCUCAGAUAUUGCUUUCCCAGCAUCUGCAAGAUAAGCAGCAUCAGCAGCUGCAUGUCUGUGCCUCAGGUUGUAGUUCUGGGGCCAGUUAUCAGCCAUGGUGCAUCACUUAGCUCUGCCUUGCUGACAGGAAUGCUGCACACAGGCCCCCUUGUGAACCACAGUGCUUUUCAGCACCUCCUUACUUUCACAUACUCCUACAAGGCUCCAGUGGUGCAGAGCAUGCUGAGUUUCUGUGCUGGAUUUGCUUAGAAGUGCACUGCUGUGAUGCUGGCCUCUGUUGCCCAGCUGGAGGCUCCUUCCCCAGCAGCCCCUUCCCUUCCAGCCCCUUCCCUGGCUGUGUCCAUGCUUUGCAAGCUGCCAACAGCAUGCAGGUGGCUGCCUCUGUUUGCAGAGUUCCUUUGGCAAGGGGACAGAGAGCUCCCAGCUGCUGCCAGGUAGCACAGGGCUCCUGGCCAUAAAGGUGUGUUGCCUUUGUCACCUUCAGGCUCCGCAGCACAGGAGAUGACUUUGGCUGAAGCAUGUUAUGUGAAUGGGAUGCGUGUCAGCUACAGAACCAAUGUGGGAUCCAUCAACACCCAUCCCUGCAAGCACGCUCUCAUAGGCCCUGGCGCCAUGGUGUGCUUUGUGUGAAGUUAAUGAUGGGCAUUUGCACGCACAGAUGUGUGAUGCCUGCCAGGCUGUCAAGGCUUCAGACACAUCUCAGGCACCUGGAAGCCAAGUGUGUGUCACAUCCCAGCUGUUCCAGCAGGUGCUCCAGGCGCAGAGCAGCAGCUCCCUGCAGCCCAAGAGAGCCCCAUGGAGGAGCAGACCAUCCCCCCUGCAGCCCAUGGGCACUGUGCAGAGCACAUUUCCAUCCACAGCCAUAGAAGAACCCACAAUGCAGCUGUAGAUGUGGUCUGAAGGAGCAGCAGCCCAUGGAUACCACCACAGGAGCAGCCCUGGGCUGGACCUGCAGCCCAUGGAGAAGAGUCUGCAGUGGGGCAGAUGGGCUGAGGGAGCUGCCACCCUCAGGGACCUGAGUAGAGCUAUUCUGGAAAUACUUCUGCAUAGUAUCAUGCCCCCCCAUGACAGCUUAGGCCCACUCCCUCCAUUGCUCACAGGCAUUUUCCUGUCUGCCAAUUUUCCUUCUUAUUAUGCAGAGCAGGAUUUAGCAUGCUGCAGCACAGCCCCUGCUUCCUCUCACCCCCCAGUACACUCUGCCGUUCCCCAGCUCCUCACUAGCAGCAGAUGACCCACAGGAGCCCUGUGGUGCUGCUCCACAUCUCCAUGCUGGGCAUCCAUGUACUCUGCUAUUGCCAUGGCUGUGGCAGCCACUAUGAAGAGCACUGGGCUGUAGCACCUUCUCCUUGAGGACUUCCCUCGUGGCUGCUGCCAAUGGCAUCAGAUGUUGUCUCUUCCCAUGUGGAAACCCACGAAAACCCAGCCAAGGUACAAACCUGAAAGCAGCCCCCAGCUGCACAGCAAAACUGGCCUCCUGUGGGCUUUGUGUUCUUAAUAACUGAUCUGAAAAACUGAUCUGAUAACUGAAAAACAAAGUUGGGCAACACAUUUUCAAGGUGGCCUUGGUUGCUUUGAUCUCACAAGCACCGAGUUGAUAGACCCCAGUGAGCUUCACACACUUUAGCUGGAGACCUGGGAGGGCCUCACCAUGGCCAUGCGUGAGUGGCCUCUGCCAAUGCACUUCACCUUUAUAGGCAGGGGAGCAAUAAGGCACUCGGUCACAGAUGAACACAGUAAGUGGGGAGACACCAGUGUGUUGCACUAUAUUUAGAUCAACCUGGAACAUGUGAAAAAGAAAGGAGAAAAAAAUUAAAGACAACAGAAAGGGCAUUUUCUUUCAUAAAGAUGUUAAAAAAUAAUCGGGGAGAAAUGAUAAAGGCAAAGAAAAUAGCAACACUUGGCAUCUCUGCCUGCAAGAGAACACAUAUUUUCUUAAGCAGGGAUCUGAUUACUGAGAGCAGAUGAAGAGGAAUUAUGAAACCUGGAGAUAAGAUCAGGAAUAGUUAAUAAAAAGCUCGGGAUCCAUAAAAGCAGGAAUAAAGGAAGGACCACAUGCAGGCGUGCUGAGGGAAAUGGGCAAAGACAUUAGAGACACUUUAGCAAACAUUGUCAGAAUUUUGAGAGAAAUUCCUUAGGACUGGAAAACGUAAUGAAAAGCAAUUGCAGAAAGCAAUCCGAGGGCAAGUGGUGGCUACAUCCAGUAUUCUCCAGCCUUGGUGAUUCUCUGAUUCUAUGAAACACUCAUGGAAAUGGAUUUGUCUCAGUUGUCCUCUCACAUUCAGCCCCUAGACAAGUUAUGUGGCAAAUCCAAGUGUCAUCAUGGGAGUUUUGUAAAGCAGCUGUAAGUUAUGUCAAAUGUAACAAUGCUGUGAUAUUACAGAGAUAAAGGUGCACAUCCAGCCCUACACCACACGCAGCAAUAUUGGGCUGGCUCUGCCCGUUGGAUUAGCUGGAUGUGGAAAGAAACCGCCACGUCUACCUGGAUGACAGCAGGAGUGACACAACGGGGACUGCAAUUGGUCAACUGCCAUAUCAUUAAAAAAAACUGAAGUAAGCGAUACACUCGCAUCACUUUAAUUAAAUAAACAUGAUUCAUCCACUAAUAAAUAUAGAAAAUUCUGGUCGUAGAAAUAUAAACAAAUAAAGGUGACCUACAAAUCAAAACCGACAUGUUUUUCGAAGCACUUCAAUAAUGGUAAAAUACUGAACCAGGUGAUAUUGCUUUGACAUUGCUGUCUCAACCUCCUCACCAGGAUCAAUACUCAGGAAGUGACCACUGCUGAUGUAUCAUUCAUUUAUACUGGUUUAUUUUAUCUAUGUUCUCCAUGGUAUGAUUUUUUUUUUCCUAUUUAAUUUCUUUCAAAUAAAGUACUGCACUUCA